AGAAUUUGAAUGUACAAUUCAACCUAUAAAUGACAAAAUAAUCAAUUAUGCUUGAUUUGUUUUUGUUAGAAAAAAUGAAGAGAUAAGCUAGCUGAAUAUAAUAAUUUGUUGAAAUAUGAAAGGAAGAAGUAAGACAGACUAAUUGAGAAAAUUAAGUUUUGAUUUGUGGUUGAUGCUAAAAGCCGUCACAUGAGUAUUUAUAAGUUCU
rnacentral:lncRNA from 1 species